AAAUCCUUUAAAUUAGUCCCGUGAGACUAAGAAGGAACUAUCGCACUGAAAGACUCAGUGUAUGCAACUCGACGAUAGCGCCUCUUACCUCACGGUAAGAGGCUUUUUUAUU
rfam:Lactobacillus bifermentans DSM 20003 NODE_162, whole genome shotgun sequence.